GGAGUUGUGGCCCAGUGGUAGAGCACUCACCUAGAGUGUGUGAGGACCUGGGUUCAAUCCUCAGCACCA
rnacentral:tRNA from 1 species